CUUUAGUUGAACAAAUUGACCCAAGGACUUAUUCUUUAUAUGAAUUCUAACAUCAACAUUAUCAAUCCUGUGUAAUGUCUCAGAAUUUUCCAAAAAAAAUCAGAGCUAAGCUUCUCAUUAAGAGUAUUCAAGUUUUAUAAAAAAAGACAACUUACCUGACCAAGCAAGAAAGGUGUAGUAGGUUCCACAAUAUGUACAGCUUUUGAAUGAACUGCAAUGAAAGGAUAACAACAGGUUGAGCUAAAAUAAUUGUUUACAAACCAUAGGAAAUGAAUAAAAUGUCUUAAGUGAAUGGCCUUGACAGUUUUUGAUUUGGUUUGCAAGAUUCUUUAUGUAAACUUUGUUGUAUCUCGGG